UAUCUGGGUGAGCAGGCAGCGGACAAGUGACGUCUCCCGGCCUGCUGCCCCAGGCCCCCCACAAGCCGCGUUCUGGGGCCGUGGCCUCCCCAGAGCAGAUCAGUGGGGGCUGUGUGAGCAACACUGGGGGCAGCUGGGCAGCGCCUCCCUGGAGGCCCCUCUGAAAUCCCGCCGGAUGCUGGCAGGCUCCAAGGGGGCUGGACACCAUCUUCUCACCAUGGCCUCUGUGCUCCGGAUGAUGCCGGGGCUGCCAGGGACCACAGAGCCACCCACUGGGAGGCUGGGGGUUGGCCUGGCUCAGGGGCGUUCGUCAGCCAUAGACACCCACAGCAUGUGGUGGGCAGGGCUGGGAGGUGACACAGGAACUGAAAAACCUGAGAAGCUCCAGCCACUCCGCAGGGGCCCUGCAGGGAAGCGUGGAAAGGCGGCACAGGGCUGGACCCAGAGGAGCUCUCAGAUGCUGGACUGGACUGUUUCAGGGGUCAUCUAGCCCAUUCCCCGCCUCCAGGCGAGGAUUUGCUUGAGCCUGGAAAGAUGAAGGAUCCUCCCAGUGCCGUCAAGCCCCGGAUUCCACCUCCCUGUAGGUGGACUGCCAGCGCAGGCCCUGACAACGCAGAGAAAGACACAGGACCCAGCUGGGCCAGUGACAGCAGGAGCUCCUGGUGCCACAGGAAUGGAAACUGUGACUCAUAAUAGCCAGCUAGUCAAUGAUUAUUCCCCCCAGUCCCUGGCGCAUCAAGAUUUGCUGAAAAAGUUGCUUCAGUCCCUGGCUCACUUGGUCCUGGUGCUCAAUGGUGCCCAGACUGGAGUACAGUGGCGUGAUCUCGGCUCGCUACAACCUCCACCUCCCAGCCACCUGCCUUGGCCUCCCAAAGUGCCGAGAUUGCAGCUUCUGCCUGGCUGCCACCCCGUCUGGGAAGUGAGGAGCGUCUCUGCCUGGCCGCCCAUCGUCUGGGAUGUGAGGAGCCCCUCUGCCUGGCUGCCCAGUCUGGGAAGUGAGGAGCGUCUCUGCCCAGCCGCCAUCCCAUCUAGGAAGGGAGGAGCGUCUCUGCCCAGCUGCCCAUCGUCUGAGAUGUGGGGAGCGCCUCUGCCCCGCCGCCCCGUCUGGGAUGUGAGGAGCGCCUCUGCCCGGCCGCGACCCUGUCUGGGAGGUGAGGAGCGUCUCCACCUGGCAGCCACCCCGUCCGGGAGGGAGGUGGGGGUCAGCCCCCACCAGGCCAGCCGCCCCGUCCGGGAGGGAGGUGGGGGGGUCAGCCCCCCGCCCGGCCAGCCGCCCCGUCUGGGAGGGAGGUGGGGGGGUCAGCCCCCCACCCGGCCAGCCGCCCCGUCCGGGAGGUGAGGGGCGCCUCUGCCCGGCCGCCCCUACUGGGAAGUGAGGAGCCCCUCUGCCCGGCCAGCCGCCCUGUCCGGGAGGGAGGUUGGGGUGGGGGGGUCAGCCCUCCGCCCGGCCUGCCGCCCCGUCCGGGAGGUGAGGGGCGCCUCUGCCCGGCCACCCCUACUGGGAAGUGAGGAGCCCCUCUGCCCGGCCACCACCCCGUCUGGGAGGUGUGCCCAGCGGCUCAUUGAGAACGGGCCAUGAUGACAGUGGCGGUUUUGUGGAAUAGAAAGGGGGAAAAGGUGGGGAAAAGAUUGAGAAAUCAGAUGGUUGCCGUGUCUGUCUAGAAAGAAGUAGACAUGGGAGACUUUUCAUUUUGUUCUGUACUAAGAAAAAUUCUUCUGCCUUGGGAUCCUGUUGAUCUGUGACCUUACCCCCAACCCUGUGCUCUCUGAAACAUGUGCUGUAUCCACUCAGGGUUGAAUGGAUUAAGGGCGGUGCAAGAUGUGCUUUGUUAGACAGAUGCUUGAAGGCAGCAUGCUCGUUAAGAGUCAUCACCACUCCCUAAUCUCAAGUACCCAGGGACACAAACACUGCGGAAGGCCGCAGGGUCCUCUGCCUAGGAAAACCAGAGACCUUUGUUCACUUGUUUAUCUGCUGACCUUCCCUCCACUAUUGUCCUAUGACCCUGCCAAAUCCCCCUCUGCGAGAAACACCCAAGAAUGAUCAAUAAAAAAU
rnacentral:lncRNA from 1 species